UACGAAGGGGGCUAGCGUUGCUCGGAAUCACUGGGCGUAAAGCGCACGUAGGCGGCUUUUUAAGUCAGGGGUGAAAUCCUGGAGCUCAACUCCAGAACUGCCUUUGAUACUGAGAAGCUUGAGUCCGGGAGAGGUGAGUGGAACUGCGAGUGUAGAGGUGAAAUUCGUAGAUAUUCGCAAGAACACCAGUGGCGAAGGCGGCUCACUGGCCCCGUACUGACGCUGAGGUGCGAAAGCGUGGGGAGCAAACAGG
rnacentral:rRNA from 1 species